rnacentral:rRNA from 1 species
GCUAGCGGCGGGUGCGCAACGCGUAUAGAAUUACUCCGUACAGGGGGAGAGCCCGGAGAGGUCCGGAGUAAUACUUCGUGGUAAUAUAGAAUGGCAUCGUUUUAUAUUUAAAGCUUUCGGGCGGUACGGGAUGGCUAUGCGUCCUAUUAGUUAGAUGGUGAGGUAAUGGCUCACCGUGGCAUCGAUAGGUAGGGGCCCUGAGAGGGGGAUCCCCCACACUGGUACUGAGACACGGACCAGACUCCUACGGGAGGCAGCAGUGAGGAAUAUUGGACAAUGGGCGGAAGCCUGAUCCAGCCAUGCCGCGUGCAGGAAGACGGCCCUACGGGUUGUAAACUGCUUUUAUACGGGAAGAAUAAUCACGACGUGUCGUGGGGAUGACGGUACCGUAAGAAUAAGGACCGGCUAACUCCGUGCCAGCAGCCGCGGUAAUACGGAGGGUCCGAGCGUUAUCCGGAAUUUAUUGGGUUUAAAGGGUCCGCAGGCGGGCUUUUAAGUCAGGGGGUGAAAUGGUUGCGGCCUCAACCGUAGCACUGCCCUUGAUACUGUGUAGUCUCUGAGUUAUGGGUGGGAGUGGCCGGAAUUUUGUAGUGUGUAGCGCGUGGAAAUGCCCUAAAAUAUUUNCAUAAAGAAAACCGAUCGCCGAAAGCCAGGGUCCACUAACCCAUUAACUGACGCUGAUGGACGAAAGCGUGGGGGAGCCGAGCAGGAUUAAAAUACCCUUGNAGUCCACGCCCCUA